rnacentral:rRNA from 1 species
AUUGAACGCUGGCGGCAGGCCUAACACAUGCAAGUCGAGCGGAUGAAGGGAGCUUGCUCCUGGAUUCAGCGGCGGACGGGUGAGUAAUGCCUAGGAAUCUGCCUGGUAGUGGGGGAUAACGUCCGGAAACGGGCGCUAAUACCGCAUACGUCCUGAGGGAGAAAGUGGGGGAUCUUCGGACCUCACGCUAUCAGAUGAGCCUAGGUCGGAUUAGCUAGUUGGUGGGGUAAAGGCCUACCAAGGCGACGAUCCGUAACUGGUCUGAGAGGAUGAUCAGUCACACUGGAACUGAGACACGGUCCAGACUCCUACGGGAGGCAGCAGUGGGGAAUAUUGGAUAAUGGGCGAAAGCCUGAUCCAGCCAUGCCGCGUGUGUGAAGAAGGUCUUCGGAUUGUAAAGCACUUUAAGUUGGGAGGAAGGGCAGUAAGUUAAUACCUUGCUGUUUUGACGUUACCAACAGAAUAAGCACCGGCUAACUUCGUG